rnacentral:rRNA from 1 species
UGAGUACGAGAUGCUACGGCGUCGAAGCAGUCUAUGUCAUACUUCCAAGAAAAGCUUGCACUGUCAUAAACAAAGAAUGCCUGUACCAUAACCGACACAGGUGGGUAGGUAGAGUAUACUAAGGGGCGCGAGAUAACUCUCUCUAAGGAACUCGGCAAAAUGACUCCGUAACUUCGGGAGAAGGAGUGCCUUAUUUUUAAGGUUGCAAUAACAAGAUCCAAGCAACUGUUUACCAAAAACACAGGUCUCCGCUAAGUCGUAAGACGAUGUAUGGGGGCUGACGCCUGCCCAGUGCCAGAAGGUUAAAGAAGUUGGUUAGCAUUCGCGAAGCUGAUAACUGAAGCCCUGGUGAACGGCGGCCGUAACGAUAACGGUCCUAAGGUAGCGAAAUUCCUUGUCGGGUAAGUUCCGACCCGCACGAAAGGCGUAAUGAUUUGGAUACUGUCUCGGAGAGGGGCUCGGUGAAAUAGACUUGUCUGUGAAGAUGCGGACUACCUGCACCUGGACAGAAAGACCCUAUGAAGCUUUACUGUAACUUGAGAUUGAAAUUGGACUUUAUUUGCGCAGUAUAGGUGGGAGGCGUUGAGAAUAAUCUUGCGGGAUUAUGGGAGCCAUCAGUGAGAUACCACUCUUGUAAUGUUAGAUUUCUAACUUUGUAUCAUUAUCUGGUCAAAGAACAGUUUCAGGCGGGCAGUUUGACUGGGGCGGUCGCCUCCCAAAGGGUAACGGAGGCGCACAAAGGUUUCCUCUGAACGGGUAGAAAUCGUAUCUAGAGUGUAAAGGCAUAAGGAAGCUUGACUGUGAGACCUACAAGUCGAGCAGGGACGAAAGUCGGUCUUAGUGAUCUGACGGUGCUGAGUGGAAAGGCCGUCACUCAACGGAUAAAAGUUACUCUAGGAUAACAGGCUGAUCUCCCCCAAGAGUUCACAUCGACGGGGAGGUUUGGCACCUCGAUGUCGGCUCAUCGCAUCCUGGGGCGGUAGUACGUCCCAAGGGUUGGGCUGUUCGCCCAUGAAAGCGGUACGCGAGCUGGGUUCAGAACGUCGUGAGACAGUUCGGUCCAUAUCCGGUGUAGGCGUUAGAAUAUUGAAAGGAGCCUUCUCUAGUACGAGAGGACCGAGAAGGACAUACCUCUGGUGUACCAGUUAUCGUGCCAACGGUAAACGCUGGGUAGCUAUGUAUGGAGUGGAUAACCGCUGAAAGCAUCUAAGUGGGAAGCCCACCUUAAGAUAAG